rnacentral:misc_RNA from 1 species
GAAAUGCGAUAAGUAAUGUGAAUUGCAGAAUUCAGUGAAUCAUCGAAUCUUUGAACGCACAUUGCGCCCGCCAGUAUUCUGGCGGGCAUGCCUGUUCGAGCGUCAUUUCAACCAUCAAGCCCCCGGCUUGUGUUGGGGACCUGCGGCUGCCCGCAGGCCCUGAAAAACAGUGGUGGGCUCGCUGUCACACCGAGCGCAGUAGCAUACAUUCUCGCUCAGGGCGUGCUGCGGGUUCCGGCCGUUAAACGACCUUCAUAACCCAAGGUUGACCUCGGAUCAGGUAGGAAGACCCGCUGAACUUAAGC